UUUCUAAUGAAUGCCCGUUCCCGAAUUCCCGUCGUCGUCACUAUUUACUCCAAGGUAUGCAAAAAGUCAGCUUCUGGGAAAGUAGUUGAGCUGAAGGAGGUAAGGGUGCACUACGAGGCGCUUGGGGACGAUGUUUUCGAGAUUGAAUCGGGACGACACUGAGUUACAGAACGAAUUGGAAUGGGAUUGCGAGAAUUCUUGAGGUGGCGUUGGUUGUGCCGGUUUUUCCGGCAUACCACGUUUGGGGACUCAGAUUUUGAUUAAUUGAUUUUCUUGUUUGGUUGUAUCAAAUGGAAUUCCAAUUGAAUUUAUGUGCGUUUUGAUUGAUAAA